UACAGAGGUCCCGAGCGUUGUUCGGAUUCACUGGGCGUAAAGGGUGCGCAGGUGGGUUGGCAAGUUUGAUGUGAAGGCCCCGGGCUUAACCCGGGAAAGGCAUUGAAUACUGCUGAUCUGGAGGAUCGGAGGGGGGACUGGAAUUCUUGGUGUAGCAGUGAAAUGCGUAGAUAUCAAGAGGAACACCAGUGGCGAAGGCGAGUCCCUGGACGAUACCUGACACUGAGGCACGAAAGCCGGGGGAGCAAACAGG
rnacentral:rRNA from 1 species